ACUCCAAAAACAACGCGGAUAAUUAGGUUGGCUGGAUAAAUUUUUCCUUCUGUAAAUUACCAGAAAAAUAAAUAAAGAAAGCCCUUUUUCCAUCUCUUCUCGGCGAUGAUCUCUCUGUUAUCGAAUUUAGGGAUUCUUCAAAAAAAUUUCGCAAUGGCCAAGGGUUUUAUUCAGGUAUGAUUAAUAGUGCCAGUACCUGAAAUUGGGGAAAAUUUGCAAAAUUGAGCAAGAUUUUUCAUGGGAUAUGGAAUAUAAUAACUCAAAAGAAAAAGAAGUGUUUGUUGAUAUCGAGAGUGGGGUUGCAAGUGGAGGAGCUGAUACAAGAACUUGUCCCCAUUCGGGAAAGAAACGAGGGAAGAAAUUGUUGAACAAGCUUACUAGUGGAGUUUUGGGCAUAAAUGGGUCAACUAAGGAUGAGCCUAGCAGCAAUCUUGGAGGGUUGGAUAAGGAUUCUCAUGAACCUGUCGAAUUGUUGAUACACAAGGGCCCGGGUGAUCAAGAGAGUCACGAGCUUUUGCCUCUUAUAGAGAAGAAACAUGAGAAAAAGAGAUGGAAAAAUGGAAAGUCCAAGAAGGCGGCUAAUAAGCCUCCACUACCUCCUAAAGGUCCAUCCUUGGAUGCUGCUGACAUGAAGUUGGUUAGAGAUAUUUCUCUGCAUGCCACUAAAAGGCGUGAGAGGAUUGAACGAAUGAAAGCGUUAAAGAAGAGGAAAGCAGCCAAAGAAUCAUCACCAUCUUCCACUGGCACCAUGUCUGCAAUGAUCAUUACAAUCCUUUUUUUCCUAGUGAUAAUCUUUCAAGGGAGCAUGGUUCAAUCAAAAGUUGUUGCAUUAGUUGAUUUGGAUGCAAGGAGAAUGCCAGUUAAAGUACUUGUUCACGUUAAUGCUCAAUUGAAGAGGUCGUGUUAUUUAAGUUCGUUAUAAAGGAGAAAACGAAGAAGAUGCAACACAUCACACCUGAAUAGGUUGGUGAAAAUGAAUAUUUUAUAUGGGUCAUUAAACGCAAAAUGUUGAUAAGAUUAAUGUAGUAGAAGUGGAGAUUUUAAGAUGGGCGUGUGGUAUGUUGUAAUGAAUAAAAAAUUUAAUAAGAAUGUACUCCAACUCCAUGUAAGGUAUGGAUAAAUUAGGGGAUCGAGGAAUGUCUUGCACAAACUAAAGAAGCUUCCAUUAACAUGAACGAUGCAAUCUCAGUUGAACGUGUUUGGAGAGGACUUGGUUCCAUGAAAAGUUCAACAGAGACAUCACUGGGGGCUCACGAGCCAGGAGUAGAGACAAAAAGCUUAAUUUCUGUUGAGUUCUACAAUCAUACGUAUUCGACUAACAGGUCCCCCGUCCAGGAUUCAGGUCCUCUGGAUAGAAUGGUUGGGUAACGCUUGCUUUCUGCUUCACAUCUGGAGAGACUGUUUUGUUGCGGAAGUAAAUAGGUAGAAAUUGCAACACUCGGAUUCAUUUGUACUAUGAUUUGUUAUUUUAUUUAGGUGAAAGAUUACUGACUUGCUCAA